GCCGGUGUGGCGGAAUUGGCAGACGCGCGGGACUCAAAAUCCCGUAUCCUCUGGAUGUGCCGGUUCGACCCCGGCCACCGGUA
rnacentral:tRNA from 3 species